rnacentral:sRNA from 1 species
GCCGGGCGUGGUGGCGCGUGCCUGUAAUCCCAGCUACUUGGGAGGCUGAGGCAGGAGAAUGACUUGAACCCAGGAGGCAGAGGUGGCAGUGAACCGAAAUCGUGCCACUGCACUCCAGCCUGGGUGACAGAGUGAGAGUCUGUCUCAA